GAUGAACGCUGGCGGCGUGCUUAACACAUGCAAGUCGAACGGAAAGGCUCCUGCUUGCAGGGGUACUCGAGUGGCGAACGGGUGAGUAACACGUGGGUGAUCUGCCCAGCACUUCGGGAUAAGCCUGGGGAACUGGGUCUAAUACCGGAUAGGACGAUGGUUUGGAUGCCAUUGUGGAAAGUUUUUUCGGUGUGGGAUGAGCUCGCGGCCUAUCAGCUUGUUGGUGGGGUAAUGGCCUACCAAGGCGUCGACGGGUAGCCGGCCUGAGAGGGUGUACGGCCACAUUGGGACUGAGAUACGGCCCAGACUCCUACGGGAGGCAGCAGUGGGGAAUAUUGCACAAUGGGCGCAAGCCUGAUGCAGCGACGCCGCGUGGGGGAUGACGGCCUUCGGGUUGUAAACUCCUUUCGCUAGGGACGAAGCGCAAGUGACGGUACCUGGAGAAGAAGCACCGGCUAACUACGUG
rnacentral:rRNA from 1 species